GUGCCAGCAGCCGCGGUAAUACGGAGGGUGCAAGCGUUACUCGGAAUCACUGGGCGUAAAGCGCGCGCAGGCGGUCUUUUAAGUUGGAUGUGAAAGCCUACGGCUCAACCGUAGAACUGCAUCCAAAACUAUUAGACUAGAGUGUGGGAGAGGAAGAUGGAAUUAGUUGUGUAGGGGUAAAAUCCGUAGAGAUAACUAGGAAUACCAAAAGCGAAGGCAAUCUUCUGGAACACUACUGACGCUGAGGCGCGAAAGCGUGGGGAGCAAACAGGAUUAGAUACCCUGGUAGUCCACGCAGUAAACGAUGAAUGUUAGUCGUCGGGGGCCUAGUGUCUUCGGUGAUGCAGCUAACGCAUUAAACAUUCCGCCUGGGGAGUACGGUCGCAAGAUUAAAACUCAAAGGAAUAGACGGGGACCCGCACAAGCGGUGGAGCAUGUGGUUUAAUUCGACGAUACGCGAAGAACCUUACCUGGCCUUGACAUACCAAGAACCUAAUAGAGAUAUAAGGGUGCUAGUUUACUAGAACUUGGAUACAGGUGCUGCACGGCUGUCGUCAGCUCGUGUCGUGAGAUGUUAGGUUAAGUCCUGCAACGAGCGCAACCCUCGUGUUUAGUUACUAACAGUUCGGCUGAGGACUCUAGACAUACUGCCUGGGCAACCAGGAGGAAGGUGAGGACGACGUCAAGUCAUCAUGGCCCUUACGGCCAGGGCUACACACGUGCUACAAUGGGGUAUACAAAGAGCCGCAAUACCGCGAGGUGGAGCAAAUCUCAUAAAAUAUCUCCCAGUUCGGAUUACACUCUGCAACUCGAGUGUAUGAAGUUGGAAUCGCUAGUAAUCGUAGAUCAGCAAUGCUACGGUGAAUACGUUCCCGGGUCUUGUACUCACCGCCCGUCACACCAUGGGAGUUGAAUUCAUUCGAAGCGGGGAUGCUAAAAUAGCUACCUUCCACAGUGGAUUUAGUAACUAGGGUGAAGUCGUAACAAGGUAACC
rnacentral:rRNA from 1 species